GAUGAACGCUGGCGGCGUGCCUAAUACAUGCAAGUCGAGCGAAUGGAUUAAGAGCUUGCUCUUAUGAAGUUAGCGGCGGACGGGUGAGUAACACGUGGGUAACCUGCCCAUAAGACUGGGAUAACUCCGGGAAACCGGGUCUAAUAACGGAUAACAUUUUGAACCGCAUGGUUCGAAAUUGAAAGGCGGCUUCGGCUGUCACUUAUGGAUGGACCCGCGUCGCAUUAGCUAGUUGGUGAGGUAACGGCUCGCCAAGGCAACGAUGCGUAGCCGACAUGAGAGGGUGAUCGGCCACACUGGGACUGAGACACGGCCCAGACUCCUACGGGAGGCAGCAGUAGGGAAUCUUCCGCAAUGGACGAAAGUCUGACGGAGCAACGCCGCGUGAGUGAUGAAGGCUUUCGGGUCGUAAAACUCUGUUGUUAGGGAAGAACAAGUGCUAGUUGAAUAAGCUGGCACCUUGACGGUACCUAACCAGAAAGCCACGGCUAACUACGUGCCAGCAGCCGCCGUAA
rnacentral:rRNA from 1 species